UUUUUUUUUUUUUUUUUUUUUUUUGUCUUUUUGCCUUUUCUAGGGCCGUACCUGAGGCAUGUGGAGGUUCCCAGGGUAGGAGUCUAAUCAGAGCUGCAGCCGCCUGCCUAUGCUAGAGCCACAGCAACGCGAGAUCCAAGCUGCAUCUGUGACCUACACCACAGCUCACGGCAACGCCAGAUCCUUAACCCACUGAGCAAGGCCAGGGAUCGAACUGGUAACCUCAUGGUUCCUAGUUGGAUUCGUUAACCACUGAGCCACGACAGGAACUCCCCUAUUUAUUUAUUUAUUUAUUUAUUUAUUUAUUUAGACCUCCUCUUUGGGUUUAGAAAGGAGGAGGAGAAAAAUUAUUGGAGGAGGAAAAAAUUAGAACUGUGGAAAAAAAUUGUUACAGUUCCUGGUCUAGAGCCAAGUCUCUGGGCUUUUUUUUCCUCAUGGCAAAAGUGAACAUUUAGUAAUUCUUCGAGUCAAAAUGUCUAUAAGUUACUUAAUUCUUAAGAUGUCCAGUUCGAUACUCACUUUUCAGUGGUGCUGAUGGUGCAGUUCUACUCUUAGUUUUAAUUUCUUUCAUUUAAUUACAUAUUUGCAAUGUCAGGCUGCAGCUUUUGAACUGCUUUAUGUUAUAUUUAAACAAGUUAGGUUACAAAUAAAGUAAUGCUUUGGUUUAUUAUUUUUAAUAUAUACAGUUUCACUUUUUUGUGAGAUAAAAAAAUGACUUGCUGCUUGAUUCAUACAUUCGUGCACUGAAGGUCUCCUGUUUGCCAGUCACUGUACUAAGGACUGGAUAUGCAGAGGUGAAGACCUAGUCUCCAUUUUUAAAGUGCUAGCCAAGAAGUACAAAAGGAGGGACGUGCAAAUAAAUACUGUUACAAGAGUGACAAGCACUUCUGUGGCACUUACUAUGUACCAGGCAGUGUUCUAAGUGCUUUCUAGGCAUUAACUUUAACUCAUGAAUUGAUAUAGAAGCCCUAUGAUAUUCUUACUAUUAUUUUCUCUUUUUUAUGUGACUAAAUUAGGGCCCAGAGAGGUUAAGCAUACGUCCAAGGUCUUAAAGCCUGUUUUGGUUGACAAUCAAGUGUUGAAAGUGCGAUCAUAGAACUGCCGGGAGAGCUUUCAGUUGGGAAAAUGGGGAAUGGAGGUGUGUUAUCAGUGACAUCUUCCCAAAGGAGACAGUAGCUGAACAAGUCCGUUCGGAGGAGUGGAAGAACCACAUUUCUCCAGAAAUACUUCUUGAGUGACAUAAAAUGUGGCGCCAUAAAUCAGCUCACAGGUUGAAUGAGUGACAGAUCCUGGAAGAUGAGGAGAUAGUAAAAAUAUACCAGAUCUCUCUGCAUCUUCCAUUUAAAUGACAAGGAAAAAGGCUUCCAAUUUGGAGGCAAAGCUUUGUUUCCAUUUGUUAUGAGAUAGAGUAAAAACCUGACAUUUAAAAAAGUCUAAUAGAAAUGUGAAUUUACUUCUACUCUCGCCAGCAUGUGGGUUAAAUCCGUGACCCUUUUGAAUGUUCUGAAAGAAUUACCAAUCACUGAAGAUUUUAUCUUGGGAAACCUCUAGUGAUCUAUAGAAAUAGUCUUUUACUGGUAUUUAUUUUGUAUAAAGACAGGGGAAAGAUUGGUGUACAUCUUGCAGAUUAAAAAUCGGCAGGAACCACCUGAUUGGGUAGAUUAGUUUCAUCAUUACAGGGAUGAAAAACAAUUCAGAAGGCAGGUCGCUGGCACCCAUGCCUAGCUGUAUCUUUGCUUUUCCACCUUCCUGUCCAACUGCUACUCUUUUGAGCACCAGCCACGUGUCUAACCAUCCCUUGGCCCUCUUCCCUGCUGACAUCCUCCUUCCUCCCCCUCAUCAUUCAUGACGGCUUCAUUGGUCUCCACCGUGCUCCACCUUCCUUGGAUGACCCACAUUGUUCCCUGACUGCGUGGGAUUGGGAGCUUGUCAUCACCAGGGAUCUUCUCCCCAGCUUCCCCCAGCGCCUUCCUUCCAAGACCUUGCCUACUCAUGGCCCAGAUCAGUAAGUCAAAAAUUCCCUCGGUGGCCAGACCCUCCUGUCCAUCCUCUUUGUCCCACAGUUACACCGUAUACAUCUUCUUGAUCUCACUGACACCUCUAGUCUGCUGACCCAUUGCUCUGUAGCCAUCCAUGAGUUCCUUCCUGUCUUACUUCCCCCUUUAUCCACUUAGAUCCAUUGUCCAGGUUUUAAAUCACUCUCUCGCCAAAGGCUUACACUCUCUGAGCUUUUUGUCCUUCUGCUUGCGCCUGGGCUCCUGAGCAGUGAGGUGGAUUGGUACCUGUUCAGAUGCAUUCAGGUGAUGCCCAGCACUGCACAGCACAUGCACACUCUGAUUCUGGUUAGUUGUCCUGCUCAUUCUCCAUGGUGCUUGUUGUGAAGCUAGUCCCCUCUUCAAGCGUAUGAUGCUUCUCUUCCCUGUUUACCCUCAGAUAAUGCACUCCUGCAGUGGGGCUCUCUGUCCCACCCACUACUGAACCUUCUCUGUCCCUUGGUAUCCAUGACCUGGCCACCUCCUGGUUUCUCUGCUACUUUUCAUACUGUCUUAAUCAUCUUUAUUGGCUUUGUUUCUGUCAAACUGACUUUGGUCAUAAGGCAAGUAGAGAUUUCUGUUUUCUCUCUUAAGUGCAGUAAAACGUGUUUGUGCUUCUGCCCUUGGCCUUCUGCUGGAGGAAAACUGGAAUUUAGGGUGGCAGGCGCCUGACUUUCUUAAGCUGUUGUGUCUGAGCGCUUGCGUGGGCUACAGAAUUUUACUCUGUGACCUUAGCCAGAUGCAGCGCCAAGCCACACACAGGAACUGCCUCCCUUAGCUCAUGGUUCUGCACUCUACACAAAUAGUCUGCUAGGGUUUAUUCUGCGUAGUGCAGGGGGAAAUUUGAUUGGCAUCUUUCAGAUUAGCAAUGGGCAGGAAUUUCCCAGAUAAAUCAGUUUUAUUGUUACAGUCUUAUGAAGGUGUUGUCUUCAGUGUGGCUGACCUCUGCAGGUUAUUGAGGUGCAGCAAGGUGAGAGUCUUGUCCCCACUCCUGCCAGGUACACCUCAGGUCCAUUCUCUUUCACACGGCCAUGCCCGGACUCUCUGAUGUGCUGUUGCUGGGUUGCUGCCACUUUCCUUCUCCUUCCUGUAGUACUGCUGCCCCUGCCUGGAUCCUCACUCCUCUCGUUAUUUUGUUCCCCCUUCUCUUCUUCCCUCUCAUCUCUUUGGUUGUCUUUCACCUAAAAAUAGGAACGUCUUUGUUCAUUGACUUAUUAUUUAGUUCUGGAGCUGGGCAUCGAGGAUGAAAGAUUAUGAGAAUGACAUAGCGCUGCUCUUGGGGUGAUCCUAGGGAGAAACAUCUAAAUAUGAAAUUCCAGUGUGUUAUAAUAAAGACUGGCAAAGUCUCUGCUGCGCGUUAUAUUCACGUAACUUCAGACAGUCUUUUAACCACCCUGUGAGAUUGCUGAUACCAUCCUCAGGUUACCGAGGAGGCUCUGAGGAGUGAUGUCGUUUGCUCCAGGUAGCUUAAACAGCAGGUCGCAUGGUGGGAGCACAGCCAAGUUUGGGCUGCAAAGCUCAUGCUCUUACCUGCUAUAAAUGCAGUUUUUCUACUCUCUCCAUUGCCCCUCUCAAAGGCUGCCCAUCAACAGUAGAAUUCAUGAUACGGUAAUAGACUGCUUACAUAUUGAGUCUUGGCCUUACCUUUAUAGAGAAGUUGGAGAACUAAGUAGCUAAAGUCACGUGUGGUGGUGUUUCUAUUCCUCCCUGACUUCAGGAUGGUUGUUGGAUGGCACUGUCCUUACUCUGCCUGAAAAUUAUACUACCCUCUUCAGCUUAUGGCACAUGUGUUAUCACUGUGAUUCUCAUGUGUAACAUAUCCUCACCAAAACAUUUUAUUUGUCUCUCUGUUACCUGCUAACUUCAAACUUACACCUUGACGUACCUCACAGGUCUGAAAUUUUACAUGCCUUACACAUCUCAAAGAGGAAAAAAGAUAGGUUAUCUAUCAUAGAAGGUACAUAGGAACGCUUUAUAGAUCGCUGAAGGCGAUAGUGCAGGCCAGUUUUCUCUGUACAGUUAGCUGGACACUAACUCUUCUGCCUCCUUCUGAGGAGCCUGAGCUGCUCCUGUCCUGGGCUGGCCCCGAGCAGCACUGAUGUGCCCUGGGCCCCUCUUGUCUUUGGAGAGCUCCCAUUCUGACCAGCACAGCGCCUACCCUCUCUCCCAGUUCCACUACUUUUGGUUUUGUUAUUUUAUUCUACAGAAGUGAUUCACAGAUAACUGGGAGAGACGGUUGUGUAAGAACUCUUUAUCCAUUUGUUCAGUAGAUGUUUAUUGAGCAUUACAACUGGCCAGGUACCACUCUGCGUGCUGAGGACACCGUAGGGCCCAACGCAACACCUCUGCCAUUUGGAGCUUUUGCUCUGGUGUGGGAGGCACCCAGGAAACCAAUAAACAUGUGCUCUGAUGCCAGACAGGGAUUGAUGCUCUGACAAAAGCAAAGCCGAGUGAAGGGGUGGGGGGAAACGGGAGGGCGGGGCGUGCUGCUGUAGUCCCUGUGUCCCAGGCUUCUCGGAGGGCGUGACACUGCUGUCACAAAAGUACCAUAGAUGGGUGGCUUAAGGGCAGAUGUUUAUUCCUCAUACUUCUGGAGGCGGGGAGUCAGAGAUCAGGGGUCCUCGUGGGCAGGUUUCUGGUGGGGACUCUCUUCCUGGCUUCAGACGGCUGCCUUCUUCCUGUGCCCUCACAGGGCAGAGAGGAGGAUCCUUCCUCUCAUGUCUCUUCUUGCGAGGACGCUAAUCUCAAUCAUGAGAGCUCCACGCUCGUGACCUAAGCACCUCCCAGGGGCAUCACCUCCACAUACCAUUGCAGUGGGGAUUAGGGCUUCCGCACAUGGAUUCUGGGGGGUGCCACCAUUUGGUCCACAGCACUGAGUGAAGUGACCAGGAGCAUUCCAGGCACAGGGGAUUGCAAGUUUGGAGGCCCUGGGAUGAGACGGUGCUUGGCUUGUCAGAGAAACAGCUCUGUCAGAGCAGAAUGGGCAGCAAAGGAAAGAGUAUUUGGAAAUGAAGUUGCAGAGGAAUGGGCUUCCAGUCCAUGUGAGGCCAAUAGGCUGUGGUGGACAGUUCAGAUUGCAUUCCCAGACAUGAGAAACCUCUCUGAACAGGGGGAAAUUCAAUAUGUUUUGGAAACAUGGUUCGAGAGCAUGAUCGGGACAACUGGAAUAGAUGUGACAAUACAGGGAAGAGGCUAAAAAAAUCCUCUCAACUAUCAGCAUUCCCAGCAAGGGUUACUGUAUAGAGAAAAGAAUAGUUAAUUCAAUCCAACCAUUUGUCAGUUUAUUUGAACAACUGGCCUGACAUUUUAAUGGACCGCAACCAUAACGAUUGCCCCGAUUGUUCCGAUAGAGUCAACCACUGUGUUUGGUUGAACCAGAGCAAUCAAGGAUGCAGUCAAAGUUUCCUGAGGAAUUUUCUCACCACAGCAGAACAGGAAGAUGGCCUUUGCCCUCCGUGCUGGAUUCCAGCAGGAAGCCAAAGUGGGAGGUCCUUAGGGAGUGGGGAGGACACAGCAGAACAAGAUGAAAAAGUACCGACAGAGUAACUGGAGAGCAAUAGGUAGGCCAGUGGCUGAGCUGCAAUGCUGAGUGUUAGAGAGGACCCUCAGGCUCUGGCCAAGUGGGCUCCGUCAUGGCCCUCCCAGGGUCCAAGGCAAAUUCUGCCGUGUGACUCCGCAGGGGUAAAUGACAAAGCUCUUUAGGGAAAAGGAAAGCUCGCAAGGCUUGGUUGAGGAGAACAAAAGGAAGGGGUCCACCAGUGCCCAUCACUCCACAGAGAGGGGUAUGGGGCCAUUGCACCCCUGGGCCCUCAGCACAGGUCUGUGUUUGAGUGAUGGGAUGGUGUCCCCUCCUACCUUUUCAAAAAUGGAUUUUGGAAUCGUGUGUGUGUGUGUGUGUGUGUGUGUGUGUGUUUGUUUUUUGAGGUGAAGUUCAUAACAGAAUUUCAAAGUGAACAGCGGCAUUUAAUACAUUAAUGUUUAAUACAUUAACCACCACCUUUAUCUAGUUCCAAAACAUUUUCAUUACCUGAAAAAUAACCUCUGUACCCACUAAGCAAUCACUUCUUAUUUCCGCCUCUCAGCCUUGGCAGGCAUCUUCAUCUUUUUUAUAGGGCACCAGAAGGCAGCCUUAAUAGUGGGUAAAUAAAACACACAGGCUCCUUUGGACCAGGGAGCCUGGAUUUGGGACGCUAGCUCUUCAUGGGCGUUGUUUGGGAACACCAGCUGCCCCUGCGCCUGGACGUUGGGACCUGUGAGAAGCUGCAAAAGUACCACAGAACUCAGAGAGGAGAAGCCACUGGGCCUGUGGGAAGCUGAGCUUGACCCUGUCCUCUCUGAAGGGUGGUGCCUUUGGCUUCCCAGCAAAUGAUCUGGGAAGAGGGAAUGUGUUGAUGUGACCCAGAGGGUUUAAACCCACGUUAAGGCAGUUCUCCUUCUUCCAGCACAACUAUGAACAAGCAUGGUUAAGGGCGACACAGAAAGUGUCCUUUCAGGCUUUGCCGGUCGUGCAUCCCGCACUGCCCUUUGGCUGUAGAGGGAGUCAAGAUGCAACGGGGAGCUCCUGCUGUGCACAGUGGGAUUGGUGACAUCUUGGACGCUGCUAAGGCGCAGGUUAGAUCCCUGGCCUGACACAGGGGGUUGGGGAUCUCGUGUUGCCCCAGCUGUGGCUUUGGUUGAGACUGUAGCUCCGAUCCCUAGCCCAGGAGCGCUCCGUAUACCAAGGAGCAGCCAAAAACGGAUCCUCCCCCCAAAAAA
rnacentral:lncRNA from 1 species